GAUGAACGCUGGCGGCGUGCCUAAUACAUGCAAGUCGAGCGAACGGACGAGAAGCUUGCUCCUCUGAUGUUAGCGGCGGACGGGUGAGUAACACGUGGAUAACCUACCUAUAAGACUGGGAUAACUUCGGGAAACCGUAGCUAAUACCGGAUAAUAUAUUGAACCGCAUGGUUCAAAAGUGAAAGACGGUCUUGCUGUCACUUAUAGAUGGAUCCGCGCUGCAUUAGCUAGUUGGUAAGGUAACGGCUUACCAAGGCAACGAUGCAUAGCCGACCUGAGAGGGUGAUCGGCCACACUGGAACUGAGACACGGUCCAGACUCCUACGGGAGGCAGCAGUAGGGAAUCUUCCGCAAUGGGCGAAAGCGUGACGGAGCAACGCCGCGUGAGUGAUGAAGGUCUUCGGAUCGUAAAACUCUGUUAUUAGGGAAGAACAAAUGUGUAAGUAACUGUGCACAUCUUGACGGUACCUAAUCAGAAAGCCACGGCUAACUACGUG
rnacentral:rRNA from 1 species